AAACCAACAGGGAUUGCCCCAGUAACGGCGAGUGAAGCGGCAAGAGCUCAAAUUUGAAAGCUGGCUCCUUCGGGGUCCGCAUUGUAAUUUGCAGAGGAUGCUUCGGGAGCGGCCCCCAUCUAAGUGCCCUGGAACGGGCCGUCAUAGAGGGUGAGAAUCCCGUAUGGGAUGGGGUGCCCGCGCCCGUGUGAAGCUCCUUCGACGAGUCGAGUUGUUUGGGAAUGCAGCUCUAAAUGGGUGGUAAAUUUCAUCUAAAGCUAAAUAUUGGCCGGAGACCGAUAGCGCACAAGUAGAGUGAUCGAAAGAUGAAAAGCACUUUGAAAAGAGAGUUAAAAAGCACGUGAAAUUGUUGAAAGGGAAGCGUUUGCGACCAGACUCGCCUACGGGGUUCAGCCGGCUUUCGGGCCGGUGUACUUCCCCGUGGGCGGGCCAGCGUCGGUUUGGGCGGCCGGUCAAAGGCCCUCGGAAUGUAACGCCUCUCGGGGCGUCUUAUAGCCGAGGGUGCCAUGCGGCCUGCCCGGACCGAGGAACGCGCUUCGGCUCGGACGCUGGCAUAAUGGUCGUAAACGAC
rnacentral:rRNA from 1 species